UAGAUCAUGUAAGAUUUUAAUAGUUGCUGCAGAAAUGGCAAGACGAUUAACAUAAAAAUCUACUAUUUUGUAAGCAAUUAUUUAGAUUGUUCAGAUUUCUGCUUAUACAAAUUAAUUCACUUAAUAUACAAAGCCAAAGUGUGGCCCAUAAAAAUUUGCAACAUAAACCAAAAUGGAAACUAAUAUUGACACUGAAAAUAUAAUUCUUUAUGAGAUCUGCUAGAGAGGAGAGAAGCUAGCUUGACACAAAUAUUUUCUUCUCUUAAAAAAGCAUAGAUACUGUGAAAAAAAAGUUAUGAAAUGAGACCAAAGUAAAAAUAUAUAACCACUUGAAUAAAAUUGGAGAAAAGUAGAGUUAACAUAGUAACUCCAUUUUACUAUUAACAUAGUGAAAUAAUCUCCAUUAAAAGCAGUAAGGAAGUAAGGAAUGGAAUUAACAUUACAAAUGUCAGGUCUGUGAUGUGAGAAGGGAAUUUAGAAUAUUUUAAAUGUAAAGAAAAUAGAAAAAAUAAAAGAUGUUAUUAACAAAUAGUCAUGACACUGAACUGACAAGAUAUUGAUAAAUGUGGCUACUAAAUACUAACAAAUAAUAAUCAAAAGUAAAAUAUAAAACCAAUUUCUAACCCAUAUAAACAACUGAUAUUAUCAUUUGGAAUUGUAACAUAAGUAUCCGUGUAUCUGGUUUAACAUCAUGAGCUGAAAUAUUUUUAAAAAUAAAAAUAAUUACGGAACAUGACUUGUUCUUUUUAAAGUUCAAUACCAAAAAGAUCAAGUAGAUCAUUAGCUAUGGAGUUCUGAUGGGAAAAAUAUUAACUAACAAAUUAUGUUGAGCAUAUUGUUUUAAUUUUGUGGGAAAAAAGAAAAAUUAGUAUCGCUUCGGGUAGUUGAAAGUAAUAUAUUAACAAAUAUCAAAUUUUUAAAAUUAUGCAUUUUGUAAGUAAGAUGAUAUACCAUGUCUAAUAACACAUAAACGGUCACUAAGAUGACAAAUUUUAGCGUGUGGUUGUAUACAUAUUUAAUUUUGCCUACCUGUAAAAUGAAUGACAUUUGGGAAAAUAUGCUAAAUUACAAGAAAGUUUUUGAGAAAUGCAACAAUUUAAGAAACUCUGCAGACUGAGCUAUUUAAUUGUACAAAUAAGACCAAUAAUCAACCUUAUACAAAUGCUACUAUAUUUAUUAAUAAAAAAUAU
rnacentral:lncRNA from 1 species